rnacentral:rRNA from 1 species
UACAGAGGGUGCAAGCGUUAAUCGGAAUUACUGGGCGUAAAGCGUGCGUAGACGGUUAUUUAAGUCAGGUGUGAAAGCCCCGGGCUCAACCUGGGAAUUGCAUUUGAGACUGAAUAGCUAGGGUGCGGAAGAGGGAAGCGGAAUUUCCGGUGUAGCGGUGAAAUGCGUAGAUAUCGGAAGGAACACCAGUGGCGAAGGCGGUUCUCUGGGCAUGGUCCUGACGCUGAGGAGCGAAAGUGUGGGGAGCGAACAGG